rnacentral:rRNA from 1 species
AGACGUCUACAUUAGAUACCCCCCGUAGUCCCAGCCGUAAACUAUGCGCGUUAGGUGUAUCGGUGACCACGAGUUACCGAGGUGCCGAAGGAAACCGUGAAACGUGCCGCCUGGGAAGUACGGUCGCAAGGCUGAAACUUAAAGGAAUUGGCGGGGGAGCACCACAACAGGUGGAGCCUGCGGUUUAAUUGGACUCAACGCCGGGAAGCUCACCGGAUAGGACAGCAGAAUGAUUGCCGGGCUGAAGACCCUGCAUGACUAGCUG